UUUGUACCUGUGCCUUCAUUAGCACAGGAUUUCAGAAAAUUCUGAUAUAAACGUAUUCUCAUUUCUGUAGAUUUAAGGUAUAUGAAAAUUUGGCUUCACGUAGCUCUCACUAUUCUAUGGAAUAUUUUUCCUGCCCUAGAUAAUAUCAUUCCUGAUAAUAUGGCCAUAUGAAUACAGAGAUUUAAAUGUCUUUUCAAUGAAGCUAAUUUUUAUGGAUCUUCCAUUGACCCCUGAAGUCCGUAAUCUUGCAGUGCCAGGUGGCAAGUUCACCCAGGGAAAGGUCCCUUCUACAAUCCCGCAACGUGGACCAAGGCCUUCUACCUCUGAGCACUAGAGGUGGGUGAGCAGGAAUUGCCAGCUGAGUAGCUGAGCAACUUGCAUCUUACGGAAGAGAAAAUCCAACCAGAUGCCCAGUGGUGCUGUUUUCAAGAUCAGUGCUAAUACAGAAAGUAAAGAUGAAGAGAGAGGACAGAGUCACCUAGUCCCUACCCAAGAAGCUGAUCAGAAGCAAUUAGAAGUCCUUAGAGUGAUCUAAAUUUUCUCUACUAAGUGAAGAGCUUCGACUGAAAUCACAGCUUCUCCAGGGAGUCAAUUUCAUGUGCUUCAACCGCCAAUCCAAGACACAAGAGAUUGCAUCACCUUUGAUGCUCUUUGAACCCACAUAGAAUCUGACUGCCCAGUCCCAGGUCUGUACUGGUAAAGGGCUACCUCUGUCUUGGCCAUGCUCAGCCAAGAAGACCCAGCAGACAUAUACUCCCAGUGUUUGUGCUUCUCCCCAGUAUAUGAACUCACUCUUCGAACAGGAAAAGUGAUUGAACUGAUCAGCAUACUGGGCAAAAAGUAGAAUAGUCGUUGCUAGCGUCUACGGGGAGGAGAGAAUGGGAGUUGUUUAGUGGAUAUUGGAUUUCAGUACCACUAUCGUUGACACUGUUGGAAUUGCCCACAGCCGGAAGGAUUUUCCCUUACUUCUGCU
rnacentral:lncRNA from 1 species